rnacentral:rRNA from 1 species
UACGGGGGGGGCAAGCGUUGUUCGGAAUUACUGGGCGUAAAGGGCUCGUAGGCGGCCAACUAAGUCAUACGUGAAAUCCCUCGGCUUAACCGGGGAACUGCGUGUGAUACUGGAUGGCUUGAGAUUGGGAGAGGGAUGCGGAAUUCCAGGUGUAGCGGUGAAAUGCGUAGAUAUCUGGAGGAACACCGGUGGCGAAGGCGGCAUCCUGGCCUGUUCUUGACGCUGAGGCGCGAAAGCUAGGGGAGCAAACGGG